rnacentral:sRNA from 1 species
CAGCUGGUUAUCUUUUGGGCUUCUCUGC